UGCAGUCGAGCGCACUCUUCGGAGUGAGCGGCGGACGGGUUAGUAACGCGUGGGAAUAUGCCCUUAUCUACGGAAUAGCCUCUGGAAACUGAGAGUAAUACCUUAUACGCCCUUCGGGGGAAAGAUUUAUCGGAUUUGGAUCGGCCCGCGUAAGAUUAGAUAGUUGGUGGGGUAACGGCUCACCAAGUCUACGAUCUUUAGCUGGUUUUAGAGGAUGAUCAGCAACACUGGGACUGAGACACGGCCCAGACUCCUACGGGAGGCAGCAGUGGGGAAUCUUGGACAAUGGGCGCAAGCCUGAUCCAGCCAUGCCGCGUGAGUGAUGAAGGCCUUAGGGUCGUAAAGCUCUUUCGCCAGAGAUGAUAAUGACAGUAUCUGGUAAAGAAACCCCGGCUAACUCCGUGCCAGCAGCCGCGGUAAUACGGAGGGGGUUAGCGUUGUUCGGAAUUACUGGGCGUAAAGCGCGCGUAGGCGGAUCAGAAAGUUAGGGGUGAAAUCCCGGGGCUCAACCCUGGAACUGCCUCUUAAACUCCUGAUCUUGAGUUCGAGAGAGGUGAGUGGAAUUCCGAGUGUAGAGGUGAAAUUCGUAGAUAUUCGGAGGAACACCAGUGGCGAAGGCGGCUCAC
rnacentral:rRNA from 1 species